CAGGCGUGCAGCGCAAGCUGCAUAGAUAUCAUCAUCCAUCGCAACACUAACUGUCAGCUCCCCUGCUGGACGGACAUGCUAAUCCUGGACUUCGUCGUCAGGACGUCAGCCCUGCUGCCAGAGAAGCUCAACCCCGUGCAGUGUCUCAAUGUUCAUUUAAGGUCACCAAAUCUUGACGUUCAGACAAUCAAAAGCAGCAGCAGCCAGCAAGAACGUCUAUUGACCGGACGGAGUAAUCAAAACAUUUGAAAACAGAUUGUUAAUCAUUCUUUACUCCCCACCUUGCUUCUGGAAAUGAUAGUAAAAGAAAGGAUUAUACAAUGAAUUUUGAACAGGUAGCAAAAAAUCUCUUUUCAGGUGAGCAUGAGUUUUCAUAUUGGACUGUAGUUUACAAAAAGUACCCAUUGUGUGUGGUGAUCUUAGAUUGGAGACUUUAGUUAUGUGUGCUAGAACUGGACUUCAGUUAUUAAAAACAUAAUGUUGGUGCUUGGUGACUGCAGACUUAAUAUUCAUAUUUUCUUCACCACUUCAAGUAAUAGAAAACUGAAUGCUCAUAUGAAUUCUCUAGAUUGUUCAUUUUGUUUAUGCAGAGCUGAGUCUGAAAUGUCCAUCAACAUACAUACCUCGCCUGUGCCAUAAAUUAUUCCAUUUUCUUAUUUUAGUGGCACGCAAAGGUACCAUGAACUUAUUGUACUUUUGUGUUUUCUUCUAUUACGUUUCUGGUUGCCUAAUGCAUGCCAUAACUUGUUUUUGUUGUGUAAGUAUUUAAAUUAAUUCGGCAAAUCUUCCCUUCCGUGUGA